CGCUCACAGAAUUAGCAUCAAUGCUGUUUCUGCUUCUGAAAAAUUUGCUGAUGUUUGGGAGAAGGUGUGAUAGCAGGAGGGCUCAGUGCUGAUCUGAAACCUCAAGUUACAGAAGCCCAGUGGGAAGAGGGAAAGAAUUAAAUGGAUGCUGUUAUUUCUGUUGUCAGAAAGACCUCUACACUCUGUGAAUCUCUAAUGAACAAGGCCUUGCUCCAUUCAUUGCCUUAGGAAACAGUCCUGCUGGCUUCAGAAACAUCAAAAUAAGCUUCUGUUUUUUCCAGCUUUACAUAUUACAUUGCUGAAGCAUUUGAUGAAUGGGAUGCUGUGCAGCUGAAAGAUCCCACGUCUCCAGUGGCUCACUUGGCGUUCUCAGACUGACUGACUGGCAGAGUUGCAGCUCUCUGACAAGGGGAAUGCCUGCUUUUCUCUCAGAAGAGCAACUUUUAAGUGCACCAUAAAGGCAAGAUAUU